GAAAUGCGAUAAGUAGUGUGAAUUGCAGAAUUCAGUGAAUCAUCGAAUCUUUGAACGCACAUUGCGCCCUAUGGUAUUCCGUAGGGCAUGCCUGUUCGAGCGUCAUUCAAACCUUCAAGCUCUGCUUGGUGUUGGGCGUCUGUCCUGCCUCACGGCGCGGACUCGCCUCAAAUCUAUUGGCGGCCGGCACGUUGGCUUCGAGCGCAGCAGAAACGCGAACUCGAGCCCGACGGAUCGGCUCCCAGAAGCUACCCCCAUGAAUUUGACCUCGGAUCAGGUAGGGAUACCCGCUGAACUUAA
rnacentral:misc_RNA from 1 species